rnacentral:misc_RNA from 1 species
UACACGGUGUGAGGGCACCUCGUCACGGCGCUGAACCGCACACGAGUGCAUCACCACUCAUCGUCCCCUGCAUCCUCACGCCUAGUGCUUUUCCGGUCGUGUGCCGGGGGACCGUACGUUGUACGUGGACUGCACCGCACAAGCUCACCUUAUCCCCUCUUUCCCUCCCUCUCUCACCCCCCUCGGCGCCUCUGCCCUUUCUGCUAGAACUUGCUCUGCGUCUCGGAGCGUGCGCAGGGAGAGACGGGUGGGCAUCUCGCAUCGCUCUCUCCUCCCUUCUCGCUUCUAUUGCUGUCCUGCAUCCGGUGUGGGGCCGCAGGUGUGACGGAGGAGGGCGGGCGCACAGCAGCGGGGCUGCCUCUCCUUUUUGUUCGCAGCCUCGACGCUUUUGACGUGCGCCUGCGUCCCUCCGCAAGUGUUGGGGGGCGCGUAACGAAACGGCGUUAACGACUGACAUCCCGUGUGCGUGUGGGUGGAGGAAGGGAGUCGACCACUGCGCGCAGCGUGUAACGAAGGAAGCAUAGAGUCGUUAUUCUCGCUCUCGAGCUUCAGAGUGCUCCUCUUUCCCUCUGUGAGUGCCUAGUUCUGCAGUCAUGCGGCCUCGCCGUGCUCUCGUCUGCGCCCUUGCAGAUUCGGCGAUUGCGGCUGUGAGGGCGCUGGCUACCGGCACCCUCACCACCAGCCCCGCGGUGCUAGCGGCUGCGGCGCUGCGUCAACAACGCCGGUCUGUGAUGGAGCAGAGCAGGCCCGCCUUUGUAGCGCAACGGCGUCGCUCCUCCGCACGGAAGAGCUCCGCUACGGCGGGCGUGCCGGGCGCGUCAGUGCCAGACCAGGCAGUGGCUUCAAGCUGGGGCGCUGCACGAGCCCCCUUGAAAGAUCCAGAGCCGCGAAGUUCCGCGACCGAAAACGCUCAGCAGCAGCACCUAGAGGAUACUUCACCACUCAAGGUGGCAGAGGAAGAGGCUGUCACUGAGGCGGCCGCCAGUGGCAGCGGUGGCGGCGGCACCUUGCUUGCACACACGAUGCUAGGCACUGGCCGCGACGCAGCACAGAAGCAGGAGCGUCUGCGCCUUGCGAAGCUGCGUUACUGUCUUCUUGUGGGCGCUCACAGUGCUCUGCAGAGCCCCGCUGGGGAAGACUGCCGCGCCCACGCGCCGCGUCUCGCUUUGGAAACGGUUAGCAUCGCCAGCAAGAAUGCAACGCCUGUUUCAGGCAGCAGCGACGCUGAAAGCAGUCCUGCCGUCGCACCAUCUAAACUGUGUGUCAAGCUACCAUCAUCUGCCCAGCGUGCUCACUGCGGCGCCGCAUCCGCCCCAUCGGCGACGGAGCAGCUGUCGGUGGCCGAGGCGCUUCGCGUAUUCGCCAAUACGUUUGCCUUGACGCUGCACUCAACACCGCAGAAGUGGCGCACGCGCGUCAGCGCCGCCACUGCACCGGCUCUGCCUGUGUUUUCCGGCUCGUCCGCGAUUCCCAUCGCGGGGGCACCGCUGUCCGCGUCCUUUCUCUGCUCACCAUUGGCGAUCGUCGCCGCACCCGUAGCCGUGAGCGCGGUGGCACAGCGGACCAUUGCCGUCGAGGAGACGGCACCGCUACGCUGGCUGGAGACCUCCUUUCUCGAUCUGUGCGAGCGCCUCUUGCGAAAGCUCUAUGAUGAGCACGCGACCGCGACGCAGCGGCACGAUCUGCUCGGCAAAGUGCAAAGUCAGGCUGCUGUCUUGCUGCGCGCAGUCGAUAAAGAGUGUCGGGCCGUCAACAGCCAUGUUCUCCACGCCAUGCAACGGCAGUGCCGUAGAGACGCCGCCGCCGCCGCCGCCGCCAAGGGACGCAGAACCACAGGCGGGUCCUCUCGCAAGCGCAAGCUAUCUCGGGCGCCGAAAGACACGAACGUUGAGGACACCUUGCAGAACACCCUUGAGCGCGUAGGGCAAGAGCUGCACCUGGUCCACGCGUGGAUCAUUCACUUGUGCUGCGACGCAGGCGACGACGGUGCAGGUGCGGCUGCUGCAGCGGCUGCCGUUUGCGUGGCGCGGCGCGCGCUCCGCUGGGACGCUCUCCGCGGGGUCGCGGCGACCUCGACCGUUACGCUGGAUGAUGUCAGGUGGUUGUUUGCCGUGGCCCUGCUGGAGCACCUGCACACACAGACGUACUGCUUCCACCAUGCAAAGACCGCCGCGGCCGAUCACAUCACCGACGCUGCGGCCGCCGCUCACGGUGGCAAAACGAGGAUGCCAUCUAUCGUCGUGGAGGCUCACCACCUUCGCGGCCUUGCCGCCCUCAUCGACUUUGCGAUGGCGCAGCGUCUCGAAGUGCCCCUGCUGCUCGCUACGCAGCUGUACAGUCGCGGGACAGCGGCGUUUUCUCUCGCUGCUGUAGCGCAGCAAGAGGCCCUCCUGGACGUCAUCAUGGUGUACCACGCCCUUCUACCCACCUACGCGCUUCUGUUUCCAUCGUAUCAUCGAGCCGUCGUAGUCGCCGCGACACCGAACCCCACACCAUCCAAGCAGCGCUACACUGUCGGGGAGACGCACUCGGCCACGCCACGCGAACUGGUGCUGGGUGAUGGCGAGGCGGACGCAGAGGCGCAUCAAGUGAUCGCACCAGCAGCGGUGGACUGCGCGAAGGAGGAAGAUGGCGACGACGGUGGCAAUGACGCGGCGCGGGAGCUGGCAGAUCGUUGCGCCGCGGCAGCAUCACCUUUGCGAGUCUGGGAUGCUUUGGUCCAGCAUUGGGAGCGGCAGCAGGAGCAGGUGCGGAACGAGGGUGCUGCAGCAGUCGUGUGGUGGCUGCGGAUGCUACCGCUGUGGAUCAGCACCGCCACGGACUCCCUGCAGCUGUGCCUGAUACUUGUCAGCAGCUGCGGUAGUGGCGCAGAUGCUGUGCGCACGGCGGAGCCCAUGAAAGAGUUGCUGGAUCGCGCAGCGGCGGUGCUGCGCGACGCGCUGCGCUUCGACCGGCGCGAAUAUGAGCGAAGUCGUGGAGCGCAACGGCUGCUCACCAUGAGGUCGGCAUCCGCAAGAAGCGACGCAUCGCCCCUUGGCGACGAGGACGGCGUAAGCAACGGUAACGAAGCGGGAAAGACCGGCGAAGCCGGUGAGUUUGGCACCGCAAUAGCAGGAGCUGCAGGGACGAUGGAAGCACAUUACGCUCUGGAGGACAAGGGACUCGCUGCUGAUGCCCCGCCGCCGCUGCGUCGCCAGCGUGGCAAGCGCUCCCUCUUCUACAAGUCUCCGCACGAGUCUGACGGCGGCGUCCUCGUUCGAGAGAGUCCGGGAACAUCGGCGAGGGGGAGCACCAACGGAGUCGGCAGCCCGGCCCGGUCGCGCUUUGAAUCGCGCAGCCGCACCAGCGCUGGUCUCGCGGCGAGAUACGCCUCCUCCGUGACAGGCGUAUUUGGCAGCACCCGCGGCGGUGCGGACGGUCACGCAGCGGGUGCGUGUCCCGUCCGUCACGGCCGCGUCGCCUCGGCGGCGGCGGCGGCGGCAGAUCGCUUCACGAGUCCCAUCUUCCAGACGCUGGUGCUGUCGAGUGAGACGCCCGUCGUCCUUAGCACACUCUUCCGCCUUGAUUCAGUGCGGCGUCAGAGCUGCCUGGAGGAGGCCUGGGCCGCCAUCGUGCAUUCCCAGAGUGAGCUGUGGCGCCUCCUGUACGACCUCCCUCCAGCGGCGGGGGCGGCGAGCGAAGCCGCCCGUGACGAGAAAGCCAACCGCACAACGUUUCUGCGCAACGUCCUUCCGGUCGCCGUGGCGUCUCUCGUCGGCACUGCUUCCGUGGCCGGAUCUGGCAUCAACAGCAACUCCAGCCAGCGCCGCGCGGCGGCAACCUCGUCCUCGGCGCGGGUGCCGGUACGAGAGGAGACGCUUCGGCGGGUGCUGUGCACACUUCAAAGCGCGCAAGAGCAGCUCGGGCUGUCGCUCUUCGAGUCCCUCCAUCACGUGCUCGUCUCCGUUGCCCAGGUGCUGCUGCGAAUCGAGCGCGUGAGUGACAGGGCGCUCCUCUCGUGUCGGACGCCGCAGGAUUUCACGGCUGGAAAGCGAGCACCUCUGGACUACGUGCACCAGCGCCAAGCCUUCAUACACGUCCUCACUAUCGGGACCGCGAUUCUGCUGGCCGGGAACUCGCUACCGUGGGAAGGCGCGCAAGUUGCAUGGCAGCUGCAGCAGCAGCUCCGCUACCCACAGAUCGAGUUCCGGUCAGGCGCCGCAGUCCCGCAGCUGCCGCGUCCGCGGUUUGUCUCGGUCGCCAUUGACGCUUUCGCGGUACAGUGGACGCGGGCCAUCGUCAAGGAUCUGUCGCUGCUGCAUGUAUUGUGCCGGCAGCAUGCUGAUGUGGUGCUAGCCAACGCGGUGGAGAUGCUGCGUGUCUUGCAGACCCCAUCCACCUCCGCGGCGCUCCCACUUUUUGCGAAGCAGGUGACCGCGGCAGCCCUGCUGCGCAGUCUCUCGGUUCUCGCGGGGCAGUGGCGCCAACGCAGGGACGCAGCGCAGAGAGGCUUCCGCGUGCACCGGAUUGUGGAACUGGCCGAGGUGCAGCACGACGAGGUCAUGCAACUGCACCAGGGUGUACUCGACCUGCUGCGCGACAACGGCGCACUACGGCUGCUCUGCGGCUAUGCCACAUUUGCGGCGGAGCUGUUUGAGAUUCAUGUGCGCCUGAAAGCGAAACUCGCGUCGCUGGUGGAGUGGGCCGAUAUGUACCUCCUGCCCUCUGUUCUGCCUGUGGUGGUGGCUGGCCUGCACCGGUCCCGGUCCACGCACAACGCUGCCACACACGCCGACAUGUGCGAGGCGACUCUGGGACUGCUCUCCCAGCUGUCCCGCUACGCCGCGAAUCCGCAGAUGUCCGUAGUGGAAGUUGUGCGGACGCAGUGGAAUCAGGUACUGCUGCAGGUGAGCCUCUACUGCAUUCGGACGGCAGGGAGGGGGGGUAGGAAGCGGGCCCCUGACUACGGGCUGCCUCCGCCGGUGUUGCCGAGCCUAGACGACGUCGCAGCGCUUCAGCGGCCGUCGCACGGAACGGACGCCGCGGCGGCGGCAAGGGAGUGGGCGGAGGCCUUCACCGGAGGCCGCGAGCCGUUGUUUCUCGCCCUGCUGGACCGCGGCGAGGCUCUGCUGGGGGCGCCGCGCGGCACGCGGUCGAGCGCCGGGGAGGUCGCCGAGGGGACAACACGUGCGCUUUCCGCGUAUAUUGCAGCGUGGGACGAGCAAGUGCGGUUCGGUCGGUGCGACUGGGACGCCGCGCGGCCAGUCAGCCACGAAGGCAUCGCCGACGACCCAACAGUAGACACGCGCGAGCUGCUGGCGCAUCUGCAGGUCUCCUACGAGGGUGUGCAGGCGUUUGGCAGGAUAACGAGCCCCGCCCUCCGAGCCAGUGCUGAGGUGGCGCCGUUCAUGGCGGCGAAGCCCAACAACAUUCGCCAGCUGGGCUUUCUCGUGCGGUUUAUGGAGCAGCACCUGCGCGUGCAGGAGCGCCUAUCCCGCCUCAGCGACGAUGAGCUAGAGUCCUUCGUGCUGCCCUGGCCCGCAAAAGAUGAGGCAGUGCCGUCCGCUGUGCAGGCUGUGCCGAGGCCGUCGCCGCCGUCCCCCUCGUCUAGCUUGGCGGCUUCCGCGGCUACCGUCAGCGAGACCGCGCCGCUGGUGCUGCUCGACUUCGUUGGCUACCUCAGCAGCAGGAGCGUGUGGGCGAUGGUGACGUGGGCGUGCAACAUUGCGGAGACAGUCGUGAAGAUCGAGCUGAAGCGGCACCGUCACAUCCCUGAAGCCGUGCAAGCGGUGGCCACCACGGCGAUUCUUACGCAGCUGCGCGCCGUUCCGCCGCCCAUCCGCGGCGCCGGCAAGCCCCCAGUGAACAUACUAAGGGCGCUGCUUAGCCUCUCCGACAUGGUAGCAGGCACCACGGAGUCCCUCCUUGGGUACCAUCGCCGCUCUGUGAUUCGUGGCCUGCUAAGCAACCCGACGCGCGAUCAGUACCGCGUUGUCACCUUUGGGCUGAAGCAGGCCACCGCAUACGUGCAGGAGGAGGCACGGCAGUACCAGGGGCUGGGUACGCGGGAAAGCGGCGCAUGUGACGAUCUCGCAUCGGAGAUGGCCGACGGCGACGCCGCAGCCGACUUCGAGACAGCGGCAAAGACAGAGGAGGUGGAGGAGGCUUACAGCGCAGACGGCGCGUUGCACUUCCGAACGAACGCCGAUGGCACGAUUGACCGCACCUGGCUAGCUGCCGGCCCUCCCGAGCUACCAGCCCCACCGCGGCAGCAAGACGUGGGGAUCUACUACAUGAAAGUGUGGGCCGCGUACGCCGCCCAGCGGCGCCUCCGCGCUGCAGCGGGCGAAGCAGCGACGGCAGAGGCAGAGGCCGCAACAGCAACGCUGGUGCCGUACUUGCGCACGGACCUCAAUCGCGAAUAUCGCUUCUUCCUGAGCUGCCUUGUGUGCCUCGUCGACGCCAGCAUGGAGUCUGCGCUGCUGUACCUCCGCCGCCUGCAGGGCGACGGGGAGGAGGACAUCCGCCUUCUCGUUGAGGCUGCCAUCUCAGAGGUGUGCCGCACCGUGUCAGCGAUCAUUCACUCGCUUCUCAACCUCUCUCCGGAGGUGCGCCGCGCAUGCUGUCAGCGGGAGGAGGCAGAGCUGCUGUGGACCUCGUUAUGUAUCGUUGCCACGAUCAGCGCUGUGGUGCCGCGCGACCCGCAGGAGCGCUUCUUCACGUCGCGCUGCACAGACGCCAUCGGGCGUGUCUUCGCGCUCACGCGCUGGCUGGUGGACGACGCAAUCUCGACCAUGGCGACCCCAUCGACCAUGAAUGGCGAAGCCGACUCUAACAAGGUACGAGAGGGCACUGCUACCGCCGCAAGCGAUGCGGGUGCAUCUCUCGUGCACCGCCCGCUCACCAAUGCGCUCGUGCGCGGCGCGCAGCUGCUCCUGCGGGACCCCCACAGCUCCCAGCGGAUGGCGAUACGGUUGGCUGUGCGCCAGCGUGAGCGGGAUGAUCUGUCGGCCGUCCUGGUGGCGCUGCAGGUGUUGGUGAAGUCUGCCGCCACGUAUGAGCCCGGCCGCAGUCUCCUGCACUACGUCUGGACACGACUCGCCGCGGAGCUCAGUCAGCCGCUGCUUGGCCCUGCCGCGACCACCGCUGCGCCGCCGCCCGUUCGAUCCGCGAAGUCGACGAAAGCAGCGCUCUCCGCUGCGGCAGCGGCGAUCCAUGCAGCACCAACUGAGCUGAACGUUGCGGCGACGGUCAUCUCGCGGAGCGAGUACAAUGCCGUGCUGCGCGGGCUUGCAUCCCUAUGCGCAGCGCUGCCGCCAAGCUCUGGCCGAGUCGGAAAACUAAGAAGGGGCGAGACGGGCGACCCUGCCACCGAGUCGGCGUUGGAGCUGCCGGCCGCCGGCGGGAGCGGCGUGGCGGGGGCGGGGCCGGUCGUGUGCGACGUGGACGCUGCCGUGCGACACGUCGUCGAGGACGCCGCCGGUUUUGAGGCAGAGCGAAGACGGUGCCUGAGCCAGAGCGCCAGCCAAGAGGAGUGGCACUACGCCGGCGUCGCCAACUCGGACGAGGCCGCCUCUCCUGCCGCGGGUCACGGUCUCACAUCGUCACUGCUGCUGCACCCGGGCCAAGAUGUGGCGUCGGGGCACCCCGCGUUCAGCGUUGCCGAAGUGAUGGAGAGCGGCUCAAUGCCGACGACGGCUAUCGUUGACGCCGUCAUCGCGCACGCCGCCGCCACAGUCCGCGCCGCCGGUGGGCGCUCGUCGCUGGACGUUAACUCCAUUCCUGGUGUGGCACGCACAGCGCCAGGUGCGACUGACGCAGUAGACGCCGUCGACGACGAUCCUGCGACGGCCGUUGGUUUCCUGCGUCUCGUGCGAGAGUUUCAGCGUCACGUGACGGAGCUGCUCUCGCUCGUGCCCCUGCGCGACAUCGUCGCACGGCCUCAGGCCGAAGUGCUCUUUGCCUGUAUGAGUCUGCUGCACGGCACUGUCUCCGCCGCCGCGGAGGGCAAGGUGUGGGCGCUGAUGACCUCCAAGUGGACAGCUGAGCUGCUCGCCCCAAGUGAGUCGACUUUUCUGCAGCUGCAGGAGUUGGAGCUGGCGAAGGUGCGUGAGCUGCGUGCCGUAACGUCGCGGGACUUGCACUUGAUGGCGGACACGCACUCUCAUGGCGGAGUUGAUGGGGCAGGUCACGGCAGUCGCAGCAGCAGCAGUGCGUACGGCUCGUUACCGUUUAGCGCCGCCGUGGUCGACCUGUUCGCUGCCGCUGGCCGCGCGCCGACGAGGAGACCUGCGCAGCCGAAUGCCGAGUUGAGUGUCUUGGCAGCAGCAGAGCGCAGUAUGCGGCACCACUGGUGCGCUGAGGAGUUUGACCUUCCUCGCCACGACGAUGUGUCGCGACUGUUUUCCAACGCUGGCGGGGUCCGGAAGGGACCGCGGAACGCAGGCAAGGAUCGCCGCACUCAAGAGCGGAAUAGCGACCGUGCGAGUACCUUGGAGUUUGACCCGCACGCAACUGGCUUGGCGGCACUCGCAGCCAUGCCAGACCCGAUCCCGAUUCCGGUGGUGCUCACUAUCUUCAAGGUGCUGAGUCGACGCCCCGUCGAGCACGCCGCAUCAGGCUCUGUGGAAGGGCUGUCGCAGACCUUUGACGUGCACGGUGGCGGCAUGACGUCCCGCCAAAUUGCAGCGGCAACCUCGUGGCUAGCCAAGGGCGGUAACGACGGUAGCAGCCUGGACAGCGCGAGGGUUCGGGGCGCCGAGGUGGAGCGGGACUGCUUUGCGGCGUUUGCUGAGGUGUUUCUGACGUACACGGCGCGUGCAUACUGGCUGCUGCGACCGCGGCUGGACGACAAUGCGUGGGUUGUGUGGGCCAUCAUGGAGAAGAGCAUGGCUGUGUACCCGACCGACAACGGCGUGCGGCAGCGCGAAUGGGACCGGGUGUGUCGCCAGUGGCGGUUGCCAGUGAGCCUCGACCGCGCCCAUGCCGUGGCAGGACACUUUUUCACCGAGGAGCAGCGGCGCCGCAUCAGCGCGUGGACAACGGCGCUGCACACGGCCGCCUCUGGUGAAAGUGCAUCGGCGUCGGUGAGCGCAAAGACGGCCGAGGGCGCGGAGGAGGUGGCGGUGCUCCGUUACUUGCAGGCAGCAGCCCUCUACCUUCAUCUGCUGGCGAUGACGUUGUUUCUCCUCUCGCGUCUUGGCAUAUUCGGUGACCUGCCAAAAGCCUCCGUCGAGGUGGUGCGUCGGCGGGUGCAGGCGCAGGUGUUGCAGCAUCGCCCACCAGGCAGCCGCAGCGCCGCCGCCACCUCCUCCGCUUUCCUCGUCUCGAACGAGGCCUUGACGCGUGAGCUCACACUCAUGGCACUGGAGCGUCAGACGCAGCCGCUUUUUGUGAAUCGCAACCUCUUUGAGGGCGCUGUGCUCCAAUUCCUGAAUGUGAUAUGGUGCAUUGUGCGGCACGCAGACUCGCUGACGCACACGGCCACCGACGUGGUCGUGGCGUGGCUUCAAGCCCCUGGCCCGGCUGCUUCGAUGGGAUCUGCGGCAGCGACGGCACUGCGGGCCACGCCACCGACGGCGGUUUCUGCAGCCGCCAUCAUCUCCUACGCUGACCAUGUGCGCAUCAUGGUGGUCGGGGUUGUGCAGGACACGCUGGACAUGGUGACAGGUUUGGGGAGCCGAGCUCCAGCCAUGCUGCCGCAGCAUGCCGUGAAAUCGCUUCUCACGAGCGGCUUCUCAUGUGAGCCGCUAACCCUGCGGCUGCCGGCGCACCGCACGCGAAGUGCAAAAACCACGGCGGCAUCGAGUAUGCACAGCAGCCAGUCUUCCACGUGCACCGCCCACACCACCGACGGCUUAUUUGCUCCGGCGGUCAACGUCAUUGCGACACACCUGAGCACCACCGCCUCUGUGCCCUCGGCGAUGGUGCUUGAGGAUGCGCUGCUCUCCACCCCUGCAUCGGCGGCGGCGUCGCUGUCGGCCACACCCGAGCUUGCCGUGUCACGUGUAUUCGACCCCGUUGCCCGACCCGAGCUGUUUGUUGGCAGCCCAACCAUGUUAGCCAUCCUAAGCCCACAGUUUGUGCGCAGCACGAUCUGCAGAUCGCUGGAGAGCAAGGUGACCUCCUCCACUCUCCUGCCUGUAGCCUUCGCUCUUGAGUUCUACCUCUCUCGUCAAGGCGUCCCGCUGGCACCGCUGCUGGAGGCGACCACGGAGCUGCUGACGGCCUGCACGCUCCGUAACAGCGCCGUUCACAUGUACUGUGAACAUCUCGCCAGUGAGCUGACGUCGCGCAAGGAGUUCCGCCAAGCCUUGGCGCCGCCGACAAUAGCCUCGGCUGAGCAAGGUGCCGCCGGAUCCAUCUCUAACGAGGUUGUCAUAUCCUUCCUUGCCGCGAUUGCACGGCAGGACGUGCUGGUGACCAAGAAGACGCUUGCUCACCUCCUGCACUCGGUCAUGCGCAUGCGGCCGGAUGUAUUCGGGCAGCCGCCCACAGAGAACCGCCAGGGAAAGUUGACGCUGGUGCAGGUGGGUACGACGGUCGACUCCGCCAUCGACACCACCAACCCCCUCUACACACCGGUGCAACCGGCGGCGAAGCGGGGUAGCGGCACCGGCGCCGCCACUCCAUCGGGUAGCCCACCAGGGGCCAGCAGCGAUGCAGACGGCCCGCGCGACGCCGCCGCGGUGAUGAACGCCUUCAGCCUCGAGAAGUGGAGUGACGCGACGGCCAUGACGCACCGCAAGGCCCUGGCCGCGCUCACCAUCUCCCUCCCCACCGUGGUGGAGGUGGCCAUGCACAUGAACUGCAUGCGACCGCUGGACUCGUCUGAGUGGCGGCGUGCCAUUCAGAUGCUCAAGGCCGCUGACGAAGCACGGCGUGAGCGGGUCGCCGUGCACCGGUCACAAGCGCAGGCAGCCAUGCAGCAAGGGCGCGCAGGCACUGAACAAGAAGGCGAAGGCAGUGCGGGCAAGAAGGGGCAAAUCGCCGACUCCACGGCUGCUGCGGCUGGAAAGCUAGACGCUUCUCUUCGCCUGGAAGACCCGUUCGACUUCGGUGUAGGGAUGCUGCACCUGCGCUACGCACUGCGCAAGAUUGUGCACGCCUCGUUGCGGCGGCUGCUACACCAGCAGGGGCCUCGUAUGCUGGCGGACGUGGCGUCCAUGCUACAGAUGGUUGACCCUGCCCUGCAGCAAGCGACGUCGAUGGCUCAGGCGUCCUCCUCCGUCGCGGGGGACCGUGACGGUGGUGCGAGGAACCGGCGCACGUGGUCGUCAUCUUUGGUGCACGGAGUGUCUGCGCAUGGUGCUGGUCACUCAGCAGAGCAACCUCGUCCAUUUGACGGCGUGCUGGCUGGAACGACACGGGUCUUGCUUUCUCGUGCGGUGCUGUGCGCGCAGGCGAUCGGCUACGACAGCACCGGAGCGGCGCUGGAGAUGUCGCCGCGCAACGGCUCAUCGCAGUCGCAGGAGGCGCAGUCAGUGCUCAAGUUGCCAGUCCCGGCACUUCAGCCCUCUGUGGUGGAGGCCGCUAUCUCAGCAACGGCGAGCGCUGCUUCGCAACACCUCCGCAAAGGGCGUCACGUGCAAGCAGGGCACAGUACUGGAAAAAUUGGCCUGCUUAGCAAGGAGGAGAAGGCCACCGUACAUCAGCGCGUGGAGCUGGAGCGGGACGCGGCGACGACGGUGGGGUUGACUACGGCCCAGCUGCCACCGCAGAGUGCGAGGCGCAUUGCGCGAGCGCUGCGGCUCACCCGCCACCGCGUGAAGAUGAAGCAGCGUCAACAGGAGUAUCGCAUGCGCCGGGAGAAGCGCCAAGAGAAGCCCCGCCUCAGCAUCAGCACCGCAUCCCAUCACGUCUCCAGCGGCUACGCAUCUGUAUCUGAAACCCAUGGCAGUCGAUGACAGCGAAGCGUACCACCGCUGCAUGCUGGCUAGCGUGUCCCCUAUGUUCCCUCCUUCGCAUGGGGCAACGCUGCCGAGCUUCCGCUUUAAACACGCUAAGAGAGGCAUACGUAAAAUCUUGAUGGCACAGGCAAGACGCAGUCGAGGCGGAAGGUCUGCGCCUGUGUUUGGUAAGCGGCGCCUCACUUACAGCCUCCGCUUUCUUUUCCAGCCGCUGUGCCUGUCGCUGUGGACGCUAGGAGGGGGCAGGUGGUGAGCGAGGGGCUGAGCCGGGAGAGGCGCACGCUAAGCAUGAACCGGAAAAAUGCAUAGCGAUUGAAUGAAGGACGUGGGUGGCGCAGAAAAGCGAAUGACGCACUCAACCUUGUUUGCGUCUGCACCCGUCCCUACGUCUGCACGCACGGCGAAAGGGCACGGUUACUGCCGCCCUUCCCACACGCACACAGUUAUUGAUAUCGCCUUGCGCUAUCACUCGGACAGCGCGGCCCGACACGAGUCGCUGCACCUCCCCUCCCUCCUCUCCUCUUUUGCCCAGCUUCUCUCUUCGCUGUCCUUGUUCUGCCUCACCUUUGCCCCUGCACGCCCGGAAACCUCAUGCCGGGUGAUGCACGCACGCUCGCAUACCCAUACAAUGCCUCUCGCCCGCACAAACGUCACCGCCAG